AACAUCAAAUACAAACAUUAUCCAGUUCAUAAAUCCAUUUCCUCAAACAGCUUUUCUCUCCUGCUGUUGUUCAUGUUCUUCCUUUCACACAUAAACUGGCUGAACCGGUUUCUGCUUCAAGAAAAAGGGGAGGGGGAAAAAAAAACCUGGAUGUUUAUCACAUAUGUAUAGGUAAACCAGAUACUUCCUUUCCAGUUGUCUGUCUCUAGCCCUGCCUUGUGAUGUUAUGAUAUAUUAAAACUAUUAAAAUACUUAAAUUGCAAGAAGGCAUACUAUUAUGAUAACAAUUAGUAUGUCAGUGUCACACAGAAGGAUGCAUACAGGUGAACUUAGUAGAAGCAGACAAAGGGUAGAUGGAUGACAGAAGACGGAAAUUCCCGACUGAAGGUGCUGGACAAGGACAGUGGUCUUCUCCACUAUUUAGUGUCUCUAAUGCUUCUACACAAAUCACAAUAGGCAGGGCUCCAGACCAUACAAAUUCACACGUUACGACUGUAAAAUUUGGUUGUUAUUUGCGUGUAAUUAAUACUGAAAUAAAAAUGUAUACAAACUAAACAGACAUGUUUAAAAAAAAAAAAAAAUUAAAACUUUACGAAAAAUGAAAGCAGAAAAUAUUUUGAAUCAGAUUAGAUUUUUAUAUUAACAAAAACUAUAAUAGUAUUAAGUGAAAAUAGUGACAUUCAUUUCCUUGAAAAGUCACAAGAUGAAAAUGCCAAAACUAUAAAGGGGACAUAUAUAAACACAACACAGGAUAACUAAAAGUAAGUGAUUAAAACAUUUAAGUUCAUUCUAGUGUGGCUCUUAAAUUAUUUGGCGCCUGUUUUUUUUCCCCCCUAUAGGAGCCAAUGGCUCCUAAUUAAUUUUUAAUUUUUUUUUUUUUUUUUUUUUUUGUCUGGAGCCCUGAUAAGGUCUGCUGGUGUAAAAGGAAAGGCAAAUAGGUGAAAUGGUGGAUACCAGUGGUGGAAAACCUGAGUGGCCAAUAUAUCUUUCUGUCAGUUUUGUCUGCUGGUAAAAAUCCUCCAUGUUUUCAGGAGACUUCAUCACCUCCAAUCUGUGUAAAGUAAGAAAUUUGAGACAAAAAGUAUAUGAUAUUGGAGUAUAUAUUUCUUUGCUAUUGAAGUUAGUUUGACAAAAAUAAAAUAUUACAUAAAUUCUAUGUUUGUUUUUUUUUUUUUAAGUUGUUAUUGAUGGAUUUGAUGACAUGUGAGGAUCCAUCACCUUUGUUGUUUUAGACUUUAUUGCAUUUUACAUCAAAUUUCAUACAUUUAAACCAAUACAAUUUCCUCACUUGGCAUUGAGGACAAUGCAACUUCUUAAAAAUCUAAAAGAAAUAAAAGAGAGAGAGAGAGAAAAAAGCCAAUAUUAUGAGGUAAUUUAGUUUUUUUUUUUUUUUAAUUUUUAUCUCAUUUUGUGUUUUUCCCUCCACAGUUAAAGGCAUGGCACAGUGUUAGGAACUAGUCAUUUUCUCUCACCCUUAGAGACAUGACAUUGUUAUUAUUUUGACAAUGAUUAUAAUACAACUAUAUAGAAUAAUGUAUGUACUUGAGAGAUUAAAUGUUCAGCCAUAAAGUGGUCCUCAGACCACAUAACAUUUUGUUACCAUAUAGUAACUACACAUUUUUUAUGUAUGCCUAAUAGUAUUGUUUUUAUGUUUUAAAAACAAUUCCAACAUAUUUGUAAAGAAACAUAAUGAACAAUGUAUUGAUUUAAUUAUUUAAUAGACUUUUUUUAUUAACAAUUAUGGUCAGCAGUCAAUCUCAGGAGCUAGCCUCUAUCAGAGAAGUGUAAGUAUCCUUAAACCCUUUAUUCAAAAUUAUUGUUAUACUAAUGAAAACAUUUUAGGUCAGAUUAAAUCACAUUUCCUUCUGUCAUUUUUCAGGAAAGCAAAAAAUGAGUUACCCUGAAUAUGAGAAUACCCUGCUAUCCUACCAUGGAGUCCUGGAAGUCAUGGGUAGGUGAGCAGGGCAGUGCUGGCAGGUUAGGAAGCCUCCAGGGAAGAUCCAACAGUUCAGGGGGCCAUGGAGGAUGGGCCUUUGUAGUCUUGUCCAGGACCCCACUAUGGCUACAGGUAUAUGGGUCAGGUCAGUGUUGUUAGAAAUGUUCUUCCGGGCACGGGGAAACACAAGUGGCCAGGAGGGGAUGGAUGCAUUGGAGAGACAUUUGGAGGGUGUUAGUUUGGGGUGAGCUGGAGUGCCUACAUGCUUAAGGAUAGGAACUGAGUGAUGAUUUUGAUUGUCCUCAUUAGCUACAUCAACAAAGAAAUCUGAAUCCGAACUGAACCAUUAAAUAGUAGUAUCACUCCAUCUUACCAGAUGAGAAACAGACAGAAACUCCUACACUUGCUGUCCAUUCUGUUGGAUAGUGUCUUCAGCCCAGGUUAUUGUAGAGGAUCCAGCCAUCUGUAUUCUUGGGUCAAGCUUUCAAGUACUCAAGCGCACGACGAAGAAGAUAUCUUCAAGAACUUUUAAUAGAAUGAGCCAGGAUAACAGAAAAAGCGCGUCUUGAACUAGUUUGAUCAGCACAUCCUGUCUGAUCACAGAGUCUCAAUUCACAUUCUUCAGAGAAGAUAUCCAGUAAGAGGGACUGCAAAGUGGCAGUAACCAACUCAGACCAGAACGUAGAGACAGGCAUCCUGGAGCAGUAGGGGUUCAAUCUUCAGCUGGCUGGCAGUAGCAGGUCACGUGAUUCUGGCUGGUCAUGUGACCUGUCAGUGGCGCUGGUGGCAGCUGCUAGUCUUGUUUCUGGCAGGUCCGUCAGCGGUGGGCUGGUGGCUGGCAGAGUGUAACGCAUUCCCUAUCUCUAUCACUGCAUGGAAAUACACAGUUGUAUUAAUAUAAAUAUAACAUUAUGACUCUAUUCUUUUGUAUGAUUCAAAUUUUAGACGGGUUUAUCUCAAUUAAAGCAGUCAAAUGACUGUGAUCUCAACUGGUUGAAACUGACGCUCAGCCCAGCCAGCCACUGCUGAGAUGCGAGUAUAACGCGUUCUCUACCACUCUCGCUGCAUGGAAAUACAUAAUUUUAUUAUUAUUAAUAUAAUAUUAUGACUAUAUUAUUUUGUAUGAUUCAUGUUUUAGAUGGGUUUAUCUCAAUUAAAGUCAAAUGACUGUGAUCUCAACUGGUUGCUACUGACGCUUCGCUGGACACUCAACCAUCCAGCCACUGUUGCCUGUCAUUCCAAGGAAAUAAUUCUAAUUUGUAUGGAUACUGCCAACAGUUGUGACUAUUUUAUGUUUUGUAAUAACACGUGUUAUGCAAUAAUGUAUUGCAUAAAAAAUGCCAAUUAAAACGUGAAUUAUCCCAAUAACACGACUCUUUCUCAACAUUAAUCCUAAAUCUGGCGAUGUAUCCUACAGGAUACAAACAUUUGAUAGGCUGUGGCGAGAGUCAGGGGAAGUUCAGGUCUCAUUUCUUGCUUUUAUGUUGAAAGGGUGUUUGAUGUGAAUAUUUAGAUAAAUAAAAAAAUACAUGUUUACAUUUUUUCAUGUUAAUGUAAACAACAGGCAUUUGGGUAACAUUUAUUUGUCCAUUUCUCAUUAAUUUGCAUAUAUAUAUUGAAGGAAUGGAUUCUGGAAUCCAAUACCGCUUCAAUAUAUAUCUUUUAAGUUAUUAAUCAACAUUUAUCUUUCUGUUAAAUUAUUUGAAUGGCUUCUUCAAUGU